GACGAACGCUGGCGGCGUGCUUAACACAUGCAAGUCGAACGGAAAGGCCCUGCUUUUGUGGGGUGCUCGAGUGGCGAACGGGUGAGUAACACGUGAGUAACCUGCCCUUGACUUUGGGAUAACUUCAGGAAACUGGGGCUAAUACCGGAUAGGAGCUCCUGCUGCAUGGUGGGGGUUGGAAAGUUUUGGCGGUUGGGGAUGGACUCGCGGGUUAUCAGCUUGUUGGUGGGGUAGUGGCUUACCAAGGCUUUGACGGGUAGCCGGCCUGGGAGGGUGACCGGCCACAUUGGGACUGCGAUACGGCGCAGACUCCUACGGUAGGCAGCAGUGGGGAGUAUUGCACAACGGGCGGAAGCGUGAUGCAGCAACGCCGCGUGCGGGAUGACGGCCUUCGGGUUGUAAACCGCUUUCGCCUGUGACGAAGCGUGAGUGACGGUAAUGGGUAAAGAAGCACCGGCUAACUACGUG
rnacentral:rRNA from 1 species